rnacentral:tRNA from 1 species
GUCUUUAUAGCUUAUAUAGAGUAUUUCAGUGAAGUUGAAAAGGAGAUUAUUUCUAAGGAUA